CGUAUUUGAGGAGCGCUACGAGAG
rnacentral:siRNA from 1 species